rnacentral:misc_RNA from 1 species
GGAAAUGAAAUUUGUAAUACUCUUUUGUAAACUGUGUAAUCUAAAGCUUGAAUUUCAGUGGAGCAUACUUUCUAUGGAAAAUCUCUGGAAGCACCUAAUUAUUAUCUUAAAUGUUGAUGCUGUGUAAAGUAUUUAAAGUGCAGUGUUGUUGUUUUGUCUGCAACUUGCACAGUACAUUGCCUAUUAGUAUUUCUGCUGUUCUACUUAGGCUGAAAACCUUCAGUUAAGAAGAUGGUAUUGAUGAAGAGAGUGACAGUGAAGUUACCUAGGGGAAAAACAAGUAUUUUUUGCAUUACAAUACGAGUUUAAUAUAUAAUGAUUUAUUCUUGCAAGAAAAUAUUCAGUUUAAAUCAAUAACUUCAAUGGUACCCUACGAAUAUUGUGAAAAUGAAUGCAUGUACAAUUAAUGGUAAAUGUAAACCAACAAUUAUACAUGAUAUUUUUUCUCUCUUAAAUCAGGGAAAAUGAGCCCGACUACCUGAGAAUGAAAUUUUUUAUUUUAGGGGAAAGUAAUGGACAGGGAGUUGGAAUUUUACAUAAAAAUGGAUUGAGCUUUCCUAUGCUACUAUAAGAUCUAAUGUCGCCAUCAAAACAAAUAGAUGGAUUAUGAAGCUGUGUUCAUUUUUAUGAGUUAUUUGAGUUAGAAGUGUUUCUCACUGUUUUGUAGGGAAU